rnacentral:rRNA from 1 species
GACGAACGCUGGCGGCGUGCCUAAUACAUGCAAGUAGAACGCUGAAGGAGGAGCUUACUUCUCUGGAUGAGUUGCGAACGGGUGAGUAACGCGUAGGUAACCUGCCUGGUAGCGGGGGAUAACUAUUGGAAACGAUAGCUAAUACCGCAUAAGAGUAGAUGUUGCAUGACAUUUACUUAAAAGGUGCAAUUGCACCACUACCAGAUGGACCUUGGUUGUAUUAGCUAGUUGGUGGGGUAACGGCUUACCAAGGCGACGAUACAUAGCCGACCUGAGAGGGUGAUCGGCCACACUGGGACUGAGACACGGCCCAGACUCCUACGGGAGGCAGCAGUAGGGAAUCUUCGGCAAUGGACGGAAGUCUGACCGAGCAACGCCGCGUGAGUGAAGAAGGUUUUCGGAUCGUAAAGCUCUGUUGUAAGAGAAGAACGAGUGUGAGAGUGGAAAGUUCACACUGUGACGGUAUCUUACCAGAAAGGGACGGCUAACUCCGUGCCAGCAGCCGCGGUAA